rnacentral:rRNA from 1 species
UACGUAGGGUGCGAGCGUUUAAUCGGAAUUACUGGGCGUAAAGCGUGCGCAGGCGGUUGUGCAAGACAGAUGUGAAAUCCCCGGGCUCAACCUGGGAAUUGCAUUUGUGACUGCACGGCUAGAGUGUGUCAGAGGGGGGGUAGAAUUCCACGUGUAGCAGUGAAAUGCGUAGAGAUGUGGAGGAAUACCGAUGGCGAAGGCAGCCUCCUGGGAUAACACUGACGCUCAUGCACGAAAGCGUGGGGAGCGAACAGG